rnacentral:tRNA from 1 species
UAGCUCAGUGAGUUGAGUGUGGCGCUAACAACGCCAAGGUCAUGGGUUCGAUUCCCGU